AAAUAUCGAAUAUUACGAACCAUAGUUUAAAAUUCAAAGAUUUUGGCGGUGUCUUAUAAAACCAGGGGAACCUGUCUCAUAACUCGAUAAUCCACGACUACCUAACCUUUUUUAGAAAUUCAGCUUGUGUACUGCCGUUGUAAGCACACCUUUAAAAGAACCAGUGUGCCUCUAUAACCUCACCUAACAUGAGACUCAUAUACAUCAGGUCAAAGUGCAGCUAAUAAAAAGGAGAUGAUGGGUUACAACCAAAAUAAAGAUACGAAUUAACAUAUUAAAAAAUUAUGAAGGUGGACUUGGAUGUAAUUAAGAACAGAAAAAUAAAAUGAAUUCUCAUCUAAGACAUGCACACAUCGCCCG
rnacentral:rRNA from 1 species